AUACAAGUCACCUGGGGAUCUUGUUAAAAUGCAGAGUGUGAUUCAGCAGGUCACAGGUAGGGCCUGAGAGUCUGCAUUUUCAACAAGUUUCCAAGUGUUUGUCUA
rnacentral:pre_miRNA from 1 species